rnacentral:rRNA from 1 species
AUUCGCCCUUGUGCCAAGCAGCCGCGGUAAUUCCAGCUCCAAUAGCGUAUAUUAAAGUUGUUGCGGUAAAAAAGCUCGUAGUUGGAUUUCUGUUGAAGACGUCCGGUCCAUACCACGUAUGCGCAUCUGGCUCGGCUUCGGCAUCCUCUCGAAAGACGUUUCUGCGCUUGAUUGCGUGGAGCGGAUCUCGGGACUUUUACUUUGAGGAAAUUAGAGUGUUCACGGCAGGCUAUCGCCAGAAUACAUUAGCAUGGAAUAAUACUAUAGGAUCUCGGUUCUAUUUUGUUGGUUUCUAGAAUUGAGAUAAUGAUUAAUAGGGACAAUUGGGGGCAUUCGUAUCAACACGUUAGAGGUGAAAUUCUUGGAUCGUGUUGCGACGAACUACUGCGAAAGCAUUUGCCAAGGAUGUUUUCAUUGAUCAAGAACGAAAGUAAGGGGAUCGAAGACGAUUAGAUACCGUCGUAGUCUUUACCAUAAACUAUGCCAACUAGAGAUGGGACAUCGUUCACUUAAGACUUGUUCCGCACCUUAUGAGAUAUCAAAGUCUUUGGGUUCCGGGGGGAGUAUGGUCGCAAGUCUGAAACUUAAAGGAAUUGACGGAAGGGCACCACCAGGAGUGGAGCCUGCGGCUUAAUUUGACUCAACACGGGGAAACUCACCAGGUCCAGACAUAAUAAGGAUUGACAGAUUGAUAGCUCUUUCUUGAUUUUAUGGGUGGUGGUGCAUGGCCGUUCUUAGUUCGUGGAGUGAUUUGUCUGCUUAAUUGCGUUAACGAACGAGACCUUAACCUGCUAAAUAGGAGCGCCUAUCUCCGGAUAAGCGCCUUUCUUCUUAGAGGGACUUUAUGCGUUUCAGCAUGAGGAAGUUUGAGGCUAAAACAGGUCUGUGAUGCCCAAGGG